rnacentral:rRNA from 1 species
AGAGUUUGAUCCUGGCUCAGGAUGAACGCUAGCGGCAGGCUUAACACAUGCAAGUCGAGGGGUAUUUAUCUUCGGAUAGAGAGACCGGCGCACGGGUGCGUAACGCGUAUGCAAUCUACCUUUUACAGAGGGAUAGCCCAGAGAAAUUUGGAUUAAUACCUCAUAGUAUGCAGAGUUGGCAUCAACACUGCAUUAAAGUCACAACGGUAAAAGAUGAGCAUGCGUCCCAUUAGCUAGUUGGUAAGGUAACGGCUUACCAAGGCUACGAUGGGUAGGGGUCCUGAGAGGGAGAUCCCCCACACUGGUACUGAGACACGGACCAGACUCCUACGGGAGGCAGCAGUGAGGAAUAUUGGACAAUGGGCGCAAGCCUGAUCCAGCCAUGCCGCGUGCAGGAUGACGGUCCUAUGGAUUGUAAACUGCUUUUGCACAGGAAGAAACAACUCUACGUGUAGAGUCUUGACGGUACUGUGAGAAUAAGGAUCGGCUAACUCCGUGCCAGCAGCCGCGGUA